rnacentral:rRNA from 1 species
UGAGGAAUAUUGGUCAAUGGACGGAAGUCUGAACCAGCCAAGUAGCGUGCAGGAUGACGGCCCUAUGGGUUGUAAACUGCUUUUGUAUGGGGAUAAAGUUAGGGACGUGUCCCUAUUUGCAGGUACCAUACGAAUAAGGACCGGCUAAUUCCGUGCCAGCAGCCGCGGUAAUACGGAAGGUCCAGGCGUUAUCCGGAUUUAUUGGGUUUAAAGGGAGCGUAGGCUGGAGAUUAAGUGUGUUGUGAAAUGUAGACGCUCAACGUCUGAAUUGCAGCGCAUACUGGUUUCCUUGAGUACGCACAACGUUGGCGGAAUUCGUCGUGUAGCGGUGAAAUGCUUAGAUAUGACGAAGAACUCCGAUUGCGAAGGCAGCUGACGGGAGCGCAACUGACGCUUAAGCUCGAAGGUGCGGGUAUCAAACAGGAUUAGAUACCCUGGUAGUCCGCACAGUAAACGAUGGAUGCCCGCUGUUGGUACCUGGUAUCAGCGGCUAAGCGAAAGCAUUAAGCAUCCCACCUGGGGAGUACGCCGGNNCGGU